rnacentral:lncRNA from 1 species
CGUCGGUGAGGGAGAGGAAGAGGACUCUGGUGUUAGCACAGCUUGGAGAGGGAAGGCCAUUCUUGCUCCUUUUAGUCCCACUGGGCGCCACGGAGUGGGGAGACGGUAAGAACGGGCGGAACCUUGCGACAGGAAAAGGGAAGGGAGGACCCUGGGCUCUCCUCGCGUCCUGUUUGUGCCUACU